CCUACGGGAGGCUGCAGUAGGGAAUCUUCCACAAUGGACGAAAGUCUGAUGGAGCAACGCCGCGUGAGUGAAGAAGGGUUUCGGCUCGUAAAGCUCUGUUGGUCGUGAAGAAAGAUAGAGGUAGUAACUGGCCUUUCUUUGACUGUACUUACUUAGAAUGUCCCGGCUAACUACGUGCCAGCAGCCGCGGUAAUACGUAGGUGGCAAGCUUUGUCCGGAUUUAUUGGGCGUAAAGCGAGUGCAGGCGGUUCAAUAAGUCUGAUGUGAAAGCCUUCGGCUCAAACGGAGACUUGCAUCAGAAACUGGUGAACUUGAGUGCAGAAGAGGAGAGUGGAACGCCAGGUGUAGCGGUGGAAUGCGUAGAUAUAUGGAAGAACACCAGUGGCGAAGGCGGCUCGCUGGGCUGCAACUGACGCUGAGGCUCGAAAGCAUGGGUAGCGAACAGGAUUAGAUACCCCUGUAGUC
rnacentral:rRNA from 1 species